rnacentral:tRNA from 1 species
ACCCUGGUGGCUCAGUCGGUAAAGAAUCUGCCUGCAGUGCAGGAGACCCAGGUUCGAUCCCUGGGUCGGGAA